CAGCCGCCGCGGGAAUACGAAGGGGGCUAGCGUUGUUCGGAUUUACUGGGCGUAAAGGGCGCGUAGGCGGGCGAAUAAGUCAGGGGUGAAAUCCCAAGGCUCAACCUUGGAACUGCCUUUGAUACUGCUUGGCUAGAGGACUGGAGAGGAGAUCGGAAUUCACGGUGUAGCAGUGAAAUGCGUAGAUAUCGUGAGGAAGACCAGUGGCGAAGGCGGAUCUCUGGACAGUUCCUGACGCUGAUGCACGAAGGCCAGGGGAGCAGACGGGAUUAGAUACCCCUGUAGUCCCUGUCUCUUAUAC
rnacentral:rRNA from 1 species